UCACUAGAGGUCAAAUUUCACAAAUGUUUGGAUUACUUCAUAAAAAGACAAAGCAUUUUCAAACUCUUCUGAUAAUCUCAAAAUAACUAUCAUGAUGCAUGUCAUAUGCCCUGGAUUCAACAAAUGCUAAGGAAAUCUUUAUGGAUGCCAACUUCUGUAACAUGAGGAACAGGGCAUUGUGGAGUGUAUUUUUACUCCCUCAUCAGCUGAUGAAAAGUGUCAAUGGAGAAAGAAUAUAUACUAUAUGGUUGUUCUCUCAUGUUGUGAAUUCAGAGUUUCAUUAAAGAGAUGAUUUAACUGAGGACAUUUGGUAGUAAAACAAUCAAGGUUAAAAAUAAAGUCUGUUCUUGUAUGCAAUUUGAUGACUGACUCAAGGGUAUCAGCAUUUGGGUGACUUUGUUGUACAGAAUAGGUAAUGUGUCCUUCAGAUUAGGUACUAUCUACUACAACUUAGGUAAUGUAUACUACAGAAUAGGUAAUGUGUCCUUCAGAUUAGGUACUAUCUACUACAACUUAGGUAAUGUAUACUACAGAAUAGGUAAU